ACAGAGGGUGCGAGCGUUGUCCGGAAUUACUGGGCGUAAAGGGCGCGUAGGCGGCCCGAUAAGUAGGAGGUGAAAUUCCGUGGCUUAACCACGGAACGGCCUUCUAGACUGUCAGGCUUGAGCACGGUAGAGGCAGAUGGAAUUCCCGGUGUAGCGGUGGAAUGCGUAGAGAUCGGGAAGAACACCAGUGGCGAAGGCGGUCUGCUGGGCCGUUGCUGACGCUGAGGCGCGACAGCGUGGGGAGCAAACAGGAUUAGAUACCCUGGUAGUCCACGCCGUAAACGAUGGGCACUAGGCGUCGGGGGGAGCGACCCUCCCGGUGCCGUAGCUAACGCUCUAAGUGCCCCGCCUGGGGAGUACGGCCGCAAGGCUG
rnacentral:rRNA from 1 species